rnacentral:rRNA from 1 species
CGCGGCCUAUCAGCUUGUUGGUGAGGUAACGGCUCACCAAGGCAUCGACGGGUAGCUGGUCUGAGAGGACGAUCAGCCACACUGGGACUGAGACACGGCCCAGACUCCUGCGGGAGGCAGCAGUGGGGAAUCUUGCGCAAUGGGCGAAAGCCUGACGCAGCAACGCCGCGUGGGGGAUGAAGGCUCUCGGGUUGUAAACCCCUUUCAGCAGGGACGAAAUUGACGGUACCUGAAGAAGAAGCCCCGGCCAACUACGUGCCAGCAGCCGCGGUGACACGUAGGGGGCGAGCGUUGUCCGGAAUUAUUGGGCGUAAAGAGCUCGUAGGCGGUUUAGUAAGUCAGAUGUGAAAGGUUGGGGCUCAACCCUAAGACUGCAUCCGAUACUGCUAUGACUAGAGUCCGGUAGAGGAGUGUGGAAUUCCUGGUGUAGCGGUGAAAUGCGCAGAUAUCAGGAGGAACACCGACGGCGAAGGCAGCACUCUGGGCCGGUACUGACGCUCAGGAGCGAAAGCGUGGGUAGCAAACAGGAUUAGAUACCCUGGUAGUCCACGCCGUAAACGUUGGGCACUAGGUGUGGGGCCUUAUCAACGGGUUCCGUGCCGUAGCUAACGCAUUAAGUGCCCCGCCUGGGGAGUACGG